AGAACAGCCUCUUUAUAAAGUCCUGCUUUUGUAUGAACUGACCUGAUUGUGAGUAGAUGUAUGUGAAUAGCAGAUUGUGUAUCUACAUUCUAUUAACAGGCCUGAUUGUGUAUCUACAUUCCAUUAACUGACCUGAUUGUCAAUAGCUCAUGUAACUCCCUAUCCGUCCAUUUGAAGUUCAGGUGACAUACAUUCCAUCUGAGAUCCUUCGAUAACAGGUUUCAUGAGAAUUUUGCAACAAGAUUCAGAAGAAAGGUCUGGUUUUAAGAAAGAAGGCAAGCAUAUAAAAAGGGUGAAUAUGGGUGGGUUGGCUGGUUGCGCUGGCCGGUUUGACCUGUUUGGCAGCUUCACGCUUUGGUUUUGGCGCACCCAAAAAAAGGCUUUCAAAACCACCACUGACAACAUGAUACCUACUCUUACCUCUAGCUACACAAGCAUGAAAACCAAGCAAUCUUAAUAAAAGUUGCCAAUUUAUGGGGUGAAACAAUGUUCUUGAAUGACAAUCAUGGGGAACUUAUGUCUUCGGUCGGGUAUGUGUUUGGACAACAAAGAACAUUUUCAAGAUGUUUCAAAGUGUGGUUUGGAACGAAAAUUACAAGUUCAAGCAAAUGAAAUCGGGUACCACAGUUAAAGUAGUAGUUUCUACAUUCUGUCAUGUUCUAUUUCACAGUGAAGGGCGUAGGCGAGGACUCGACAUAGGCGCAAAGACAGGAAGCACGACAACGGAGUAGUGAUGAUGAAGAUGAUCUGAGGAGGACAUAAGCUUUACUUCACAAAGCAUUAUCAGUUUGCAUAUUUUGAAAUUGCAGGCCAGUAGGCUAAGAUAGUGUACAACCACUCCAUGAAGGUAACGCGUUGAGUGGCAAGAGCAUUGGUACUAUGGUCCAUGCUGAGCAAUAUGGGAGUGACUUAGUUGAACUCAGGGUAUAAUCGACAAUUUAUACCACAACGUCAAGCCAAAACCGUUGAUUGUAGCAUUGUUGGGUUCUUUGAUAAAGAGUGGCUUUCAAAGCUUCUUAAGGUUUCGGGUUCAGACAUUGUUGAUGUAAUGACACUUCAUUUGUAUAAUUUGGACCAGAAAUUUGAUUGAAGGGUGCAUGUUGAUAUGGUUGUGUGGAUGGCUUCACGAGCCUUUAGGUUGGAACAAGUCGCCAUAGAUUCUGCCAUAGUAGGGAUGUUGUGUGACCCAAUGGAACCCAAAGGAGGUUCAAAAUCUACCGACCAAUGUGGAUUGAUCGCAUUCCCAAUGUCGUUAAAGCAGCUUGGAACAAGAAAUGAACAAAUUUAAUGCUUUAGAAGGGUGGAAUGGAGCUACCUCAACGUUUUGGCUAUAUCUUCACUUGAGCCCAGCAAUGAAGGCCGGAAAGGCCACAAGAGCAGAGUUUAAUCCUUAACUGCUGAUGGAUUUUUUCAUGGUAGCAAUACAUACACUAGGAAACUAAGGUCAUUCUUUAUUUACUUCAACUAGAAUUGACAAUUUUGACCUGAUUAUUAUGAUGGGUUAACCAUGUUAUAUUUAUUUCAACUAGAACUGACAAUUUUGACCAGAGUUUAGUCAGUAAUGUGUGUUUAAUUGUUUACUUAUGCAUGUGAGGUUUAUUUUGGAAGAGCAUCAACCUUGAGUCACAGUUGUAAAGUUGGCACAAACUCAUGUUCUAAAGGAAGACAUGUAUUUAUUUGUUUAUUAUAACUUUUUCACCACUUUCAUACUAAUACUAAUACAGCCCAAUUCGGGUUAUUUAUAAUGAUGAUGGGUCAAACGGGUAAUUUAAAACGAGUAGACUUCCUGAAUGUUUUUAGUUUGAAAAAAGAGUAAAUUACUCGAAAAAUGCUCUUUUUAGUAGUUAAUUAGUUGCGCCAAAUAUUAGCGCACGAAAUAUAACGUCUAAUAAAUAUUAUAAGUCUUUGGUUUAAAUAUCUAGCAUGUUUUAUACGUUAAAAAUAUACUAUGGUUGACUUUUCACUCAUCUCCUUUUAAGCUACUCAUUUACCGGUUUGACC